rfam:Colletotrichum orchidophilum strain IMI 309357 Scaffold_43.1, whole genome shotgun sequence.
GCCCCUGUAGCCAAGUGGUGAAGGCGCCGUUCUUAUAAUUACAUAAUCAAUGUGAGAAAUGCGGAGGUCGUGAGUUCGAUCCUCACCAGGAGCA